rnacentral:lncRNA from 1 species
AGCUUCAACACAGUGCAGUGUCUCCUGCCCAGGACGAUCACGUGAGUCCCACUCCUUGUUGACAUGUCAAGAUGACACUCCACAUUGACACUGAAACUGCCUUCCCAGGCCCUGGUCUAGAAUAAGCUCCUGUGCUUUGACAGCUCCUGCCCUCACCCCUGUCCCUGAUGGCCCUCACCUCCUCUGACCUCCUGCAGUGACUCUGCAUUCCCACUUGCCAUCUGCCUUUCUUCUCAGCUCAGCCUCCUGAGCCCUGUGGCCGCUGCACCCUGUGCAGCCUUUCCACAAGCUGCAUGUAUAACCCUGUGAAGCAUCAAGUGGCCCUCGAGAAUUCCUAAUAUUCUAAGUUAAGAUUGGGAUAAAAGAACCUGUGACUGCCUAGCUUAUGACACCAGGUGACCCAUGAGUACCCAGUGAACUGUCACUGCUGGACGUGGUGUCACCUAGGAAUUCACCGUUGUUCCUCAACUCUGACGCUGUGGAGAGACACGGCUCAUUCUGGCUCACGUCUGGCAGGGGCCCCACCUGCAGGGUCCUGGCCUUCUCUCGCCUCCUCCCAACAUCCAGCUGCUUUCACUCUCUUCUCAAAUCACAUGUCAAGUCUCCAGGACAAUGACCCUCUGGCCUAGCUGAGGGGGCACAUGGGCAGGGGUCCCAACCAGCCCUAGGCCCUUACUACUACUGGGAUCUCCAGGGUGACCUCAGGAAGCACUUUGAUUCUGACCCAGGGGUCCCCUGUUCUCUGAAGUGGAGGGAAAGAAGCCAACCCAGGGGUCCUUGGGCAACUGCCAGUCCUGGAUCUCCCCAGGGACACCCCCUUGCCCCCACUCUAGCUCAUCCCUUGGGCUUGGCUCCACACUGGAGGGUGCCCCUGGCAGGGACUGCAGAGGUGUGUCCCCGAGAGCCUGGGGCCUGGUUGGCCGCCCUGCCGCUGGAUCCAGUCCCCUCUUGCCAGACCUCUCUGGUCCUCAGGCCUGUGCUCUGUCCUGGACAAGCUGGAGAUUCACCCUGGACCUGGCCUGGGGGUGCAGGGCAGUCAGGGCAGAGGACAGAGCUGAUCUUAUGUGACAUCUGUCCAAGAAAGGUCUGUGCCUUUGAAUAGUUAGCACACACAGUGUGGCCUCCACCAGAGCCAAGGGCAGGAGCAGCCAGGCAGAGGGCAGAUAGGGCUGGAGGACCUUGAGGGACAAGGACGAGGGGCUACGGUCUGGGACAGGCAGCGGCUGGGCUCAGUCCACCUGGUUCCCCACUAUAAGGUCCUGGCUUAGCAUCUGGAUGGCCAUCUUAAGUGACAGAUGCCACUUUAAGGAAAAAGUUUCACUUUUCCGCCCGGAGGGAAAGGCUCACCACCUCCUCUACCAUCCCAACCCUUCACCCCCACAUUAGGACCCACCUGGCUCUGAUUCCUGAGCCUUCCCCAUAAAAGUCCCAAAACCCAAGCCUGUUUUGCCCUCUCCACUAGAGGUCAGCUCUGACAAAUAAACGCUGGUGUGCAUCUCUGCCUGCUCUCCGUCUUCAUUUCCCACUUACCGUCUCUCGUUCCUCACUUUCCCUUCACUUUGGUGCCAAAACCCAGGAUUGGGUUCCCUGGUGUGCCUGCUCCCCUCUUCCAGGGUCAUUGAGCAUCCCCAGGCCCCGAUGAGGAUUCCAUCGUGAGACCAGGCCUUCCAUUUUGCUGAACACCCUCUCUGCACCCACCACCAGACAUUCCAGGUAAGACCCCUGUCUCCGGUUGACCUAAAUGACCUACGGACCUGGGAAGUGACUGUGCGUCCAGCACUCCCAGGUUACCGUGUGGUCGGGGGCACCCCCAGCCCCAGCUUUCACAGCUACGGCUGAUCCCUACUGUCGACCAACUGGGACUACAGGUGCUCUGUUAUUUGGGUCCUGGGUUUUGAGAAAAAACCACCGAGGGUGACUGGGAGUUGUUCCUGGUGAGAACUUUUAGGCCUUGGGUUCAUCUCUACAGCUUCUGCCCCACUACGUAGUCCCGGCCAGGCACCCAAGUGCCUCUAUGGGUUCCUGCCCCGAUGCUUACCCAGAGGUGGUGACGACCCCCUGAGCGUAACCAUCCUCUCAACUGGGAGAUACUAGAGACUGUGGGACGCCUCACCUCCAGACUCACCUCCUACGUCUCACCGUGGGUAGCUCCUCAUCCAUUCCCUCUCAUAGUCCCCCAGGCUGCCUCCUGGCUAAUCUAGGGUCCCUCUCUCUCACCCCAGACCUAAACCCCCAAAACUUAUCCACUUGUGCAGUCGUAUCUGGCCUCAAUAUCCUUUGGAUAACGACUCUAAAUGCCACUUAAUGGCACUCUAGAUCCCAAUAUUAUCAGGGAUCUUUUCAACUAUUGUGAGCGUUGAGGAAAAUGGAAAGAGAUAGCUUAAGUUCAGGCUUCUCCUCUCUGCAUUCCAUGCCCUCUCUCUGCAACCCCUGCUCUCCCGCACAAGUCCUCUCAGCCCUCACCUCCCCUGCGCCUGCUUCCAAGGGACAGAAGACCCUACCCAGGACUCCUCCUCCUUCCACCCAGUGGAUGUGCCCUGCCAUGCCAUGAUUCUCUUCCAACUGUCCCCUCGGCCUCUCUGCCCUCCUCUCCUCCUGCCACACACUCAUGGGCUGCCUCUACCCAACCUGCAUCUCUGUGUCCUCUACUCAAGGUGGCUGGGUUAGAUGGUGUCAUCCGGGGUUCACAUGCCUUUCUCUUUGUCACAUCUGUCACAGAAAAGCAGCUUGGGCCCUGUACUUCAAGUCCCACCACAGACAUCAGAGUUUCAAUAUCUGACUCAAUCAUAUGACUUGACCUUCCACAAUGUCCAUAUGACCUUGUCUAACAGUCUCCUGCCCGAGGAGCACAGGUGAGUUGGGAGCAAGCUAGAAAUUAUGCUGAUGGGGUACAUCAGACCUCCCCUGCCCAUCCGAUGGGCACUGAAAUGGCCCCUGGUCAGGACCCAGUUGGGAUUAGAAUUCACCUGGAGGAGUAACCAGUAGAAACCAACUCAUCCCUUGCCUCAUGGCAGGACUGAGAAAGGCAGCCCACAAGGCCAGAAAUUAUGAAAGGCUCCAGGAAGUCAUCCCAGAUAAGAAUGGAAACCUUCCGCAUUUCAGACCCCCUGACCAGGCUUUAUUACAAUAUACUAACCUGGACCUGAGGCUGCAGAUGGGAGACCACUACUAAUGACUACUUUUCCUCCCAGAGUUUCCCCGAUAUUAAGGCCAAACUAAGGCACUUCAACAGGGGGUCCUUAACUCCCCAAGCUGAGGUUUGGAAGUGCCCUUUAAGGUGUGUAAUGGGAGAGAUGAGAAGGUCCGGAAGCAUCUGUCCCAGGUUUCACUGGCCCACGGGAGGGCCCCUCGGGACUGCCCGGACCCUGUUUUAAAUGUGGUCAGACGGGUCACUGGCCUCAUACAUGUCCUAAGCCUCUUAAGACUCCAGGCCCUUGUCCUAAAUGCCAUCAGGAGGGACACUGGGUCGCUGACUGUCCCCAAGCCCAUAGCACCCCUGGCCAUCUGGCCCUUCUGGUUCCCCUUUCCAACUUAGGACUGGCUGCAGAGGACUGUUGAAGCCCAGGUCCCCAUUACUGACCACUACCAUCACUCCAUGGGAGCCCAGGGUAGCCCUGAGUGUUUCAGGUAGGCCUGUGUCCUUCCUCCUGGACAUCAGGGCUACAUAUUCAGUCCUCAAGGGGUUCUGUGGGCUACCACUCGUUCUGUGACCUCUACUGUCAGGGUAGAGGGUGAACCUGACCAGCCCUACAGAUACCUGGCCAAGUUAGUGCCUUUGAUGCUCUGGUUUUCACCCUCUCCUUUUUGGUCAUUCUACAGUGCCCUGUCCCCCUUAUGGGAAGGGCCUUCCUCACAAAGUUGGGGGCUACGCUUUCCUUCUCCCGUCAUAUACACUUCCAUCCAGACUCGCCGGCCACUCCCCUGAUCCUCACCCUGACCUGAGGGCCAUCCCCUAUUCGUCUGCCAGGGCCUCCCAUUACCCCCUUCCAAGUGACCCUACUGUCUGGGGAGCUUGAAGUCCUCUAUUGCCUCACACCAAGAGCCCCACAUCUGUCUCAAAGGCCCCCUCCAUUUUCUGGUCAAUCACAACACCCGCUCUCCCUAAAAACUCCUGGGCUUACACCUCUCAUUCAAGACUCUUGUGAAAGGGCUUCCUCAGACCUCCUCAUUCCCCUUAUAACACCCCCAUCUUGGCAGUGAAAAAGCCUAACGGUUCCUACCGCUUGGCCCAAGAGCUCCCUUCCAUGAACUCUGUGGUCGUCCCAGUCCAUCCCGUGGUGACCGAUCCUUGUACCCUUCUCUCCUCCACUCCUUCAGGGACCUCUUACUGCUCAGUGCUAGACCUGACAGGUGCCUUCUUCUCUGUCCCCUCCAUUCUGACUCUCAGGACACUUUCACCUUCCCAUGGACAGACCCUGAGUCUUAUAACUCACUCAGCUGACGGGGACAGUUUCCCCCAAGGGUUCCGGGACAGCCCUCAUACCUUCAGAGAGGCCUUGGCUAAGGACCUAGUUCCCCUACAUCUCACUCAGCCUAUGGUGCCACAGCAUGUUGAUGACCUCCUUCUUUGCAGUCCCCCCUUGAGGUCAGCCAUCAGGACACCUGUAAACUUCUCCACUUCCUUUCUGCCCGUGGCUAUAGGGCAUCUCCAUCCAAGGUACAGCUCUCCUUGGCAAUGGUGAUGGACCUAGGCCUCCUCCUGACCCUACACACGGCCAUGACGGUUGAUAGAUAGGGCCUCAUCACUAACAGACCAACCCCUCUACUGAGGAAGACAUUCUCUCCUUUCUGGGUGUGGCGGGAUUCCUCAGAGCUUGGAUUCCUAACUACUCCAUAUUGGCUAAGCCUGUAUAUGAUGCGGCCCAGGGCCCCCUCUCUGAACCCCUAUUGCCUCUGUUACAGAGCCCCUCACCAGGCUCUGCAGGCCUCCUCCAGGCCCCUCUCUCCACCUCCCUGAUCUCACUCACCCAUUUCACCUUCAGGUGGCUGAAAAGCAGGGAUUUGCUCUAAGGGUCCUCGGACACAUGCUGAGGCCAACCUUUGCCCCUGUGGCUUAUCUACUAAAGGGUCUUGACCCUACUGUUUGAGGAUGGGCUGCAGCCUCUCUACUCAUUAACAAGCCAAAGAAACUCACCUUGGGGCCCCACCCACCUAAAGGAUAUCCUCACCUACCAGGACUUACACUGCUUACCCCCUGUUGCCUGUUGUGCCUACAGGUUUCCCUGGUGGAAGAUCCAGUCUCCUCUCCACACCUGCUCACCUUUAAACCCUGCCUCUCUCCUCUAGCGGCUCAGGACGCUCCCCCUCUCCUCCUGUCACCAUUCAUGCACUGAGACUCUGAGGAGCUCCCUCUGCACCCGUCCCACACACAGGAGGGCCCUGCUCCAGGCCACAUGCACAGGGUCCACAGAUGGCCUCUCCUUCAUUCAGGGGGAGUCGUCAGGCAGCGUGUGCCACAGUCUCUCUCACCUCCACUGUGGAAGCUGCUCCCCUCCCCAGUAACUCAUCCAACCAGCAGGCUGAACUGGUGCCCUCGGAAGAGCCUUCACUGUGGCAACGGGGGCCUCCUCUAUGUCUACGCUGGCUCCAAACACGCCUUCCACACAUUCCUCUCCCUCUCUGCUAUUUGGACAGAGCGUGGAUUCCCUACCACCAAGGGGUCUUCAGUUAUAAUGCCCCUCUACCUCCCACCUCCUUCAGGGCUCAAAGUUUCCCUCUGCCACUGGAAUCAUGGGUGUGCCCAUGUCCCUGUGUGUGUGUCUGGGUGUGCCCAUGUCCCUGUGUGUGUGUCUGGGUGUGCCCAUGUCCCUGUGUGUGUGCCCAUGUCCCUGUGUGUGUGUGCCCAUGUCCCUGUGUGUGUGUGUGGGUAUGCCCAUGUCCCUGUCUGGGUGUGCCCAUGUCCCUGUGUGUGUGUGGGGGGGUAUGCCCAUGUCCCUGUGUGUGUCUGGGUGUGCCCAUGUCCCUGUGUGCAUGUCUGGGUGUGCCCAUGUCCACAUACACAGGACGCUGACCCCUGGGUGGGCCUCACUGUCCCCCUUUGUGGGUGCAGUGCCUGGACCCUGUGAGGGGCAGAGCCAGCCCAGUCAUCCAUAGCCCCUUGAAACCUGAGGGCCACAGGCUUGAUACAUCAUGUGCUCCCAGCCACAAGGGGCCUAGGGGGCUCUGGGGGCUGGGGUCACCCCACCCCAGUGCAGCAGGCUGAGGCGGCCAAGGAACCUGACUUGGCAGAGGCGCGAGGGGCAGAGAGGCACAGGAUCUGGUUGCUGCACACAGCAGAUGGCUGACUGGUACCGCAAUCUGGCUGGGCACAAAUAAUUGGGAGGUCACGAGCCACUUGUAGGUUCAAACAGGAACUACUUUAUUGCCCGACCUCCACGGGAACUCAACCGGAACUCAACGGGAACUCCGCUGGAACUCAACGGGAACUCCGCGAGAACUUAAAAGUGGCGGGCACCCAAGGUAGCAGGAGCCACCUUAUUGCCGGACAGCAGAGGUUUAUAUACACAACUGAAUACACAGCUUGUUUCAAUUUAGCAUCAUCCAGUUACAGCAAUCAGUCAUUAUCUUAAUAAUUAUACACAGCUUAACUGAAUUAUCAUCAUCUUAAUGGCUCACUGGCGUUACUUCUCCACCACUCCUUCUGGCAAAAUGCCAGGUGCCAUCUUGACUUGGCUGUGGCUCUCAACAUCUCCCCCUUCUGUUUAAUUAAACAACAAGUAUGUGGCUUAGGGACCGUGCCUGUUUUAGGUUGUCCAAUACUACAUAUGGUCCUUACCCGUCAUCGGAUGAGCUGACCUCAAGGCGUUAGCCUCCUGUCUUAGGUUGGUACCAUUGCAAUUAGAUCUUACCCGUCUUUAACUACCGGCCCAACACACUCAGCCAUACUUGUGGAUAACGACCAUCACAAGCCGAAGGGAGGAGGAUACAAAAUGCCACGAUACCAAGCCAAAUGACGGCUCCUUUUGGAAAAAUUGUACCACCGAUGACACCAUCAGCAAAGAUACCCCGGCACUACCACAAGUCGCUGCAACAACAGAUAGUUCACAAUGCAUACAAGUGAUACAUAGUCUAGGCAAGUUCUGCAAGCAGUUCAAAGCAGAGGAAUCUAUCAAUAUGUCCAUUUCCUCCCAAAGUAAAUCGACUCCUUGAUUGAGCACUACUUGUUGAGUUAUUAUUCAUUGAUGCAUCAGUUUAUACAGUUUGUUGUGAUAACUAUCGCAGAAGCUGUAGUUUGGUUUUAUCUUUGUCUUCACCGGCACUGGGAUGAAGAUAGGAAUUCUGGCAAUGAUGGUUAAAAAAAUUAUGUAGCAUUCCAGCAGGCACUAAAAAAAGCAAUUUUCUAAACAGUUUAGUAUCCUGAAUAGAAUUAAAUAUAAU